rnacentral:lncRNA from 1 species
AAAAAAAAAAAAUCUACAUCAAAGGUUAGAAAGUUUUCAAAUUAACAUCCUAACUUCACACCAAGAGGAACUAGAGAAACAAGAGCAAAUCAGUCCCAAAGCUAGCAAGAGAAAGGAAAUAACUGAAAUCAGAGCUGAACUGAGAGAAAUUGAGAUGCAAAAACCCAUACAAAAGAUUAACAAAUCCGGGUUUUGUUUCUUCAAAAUAACAAACCAGAUUGAUUGAGCACUAGCUAGACUAAUAAAGCAAAAAAGAGAGGAGAUAAAAAUAAAUACAGUCAGAAAUGACAAAGGGAACAUUACCACCAAUCCCAAAUAAAUUAAAAAAAAAAAAAACACUCAGAGACUACUACGAACAACUCUAUGCACACAAACUAGAAGAAAUGAAUAAAUUAUUGGAAACAUACAACCUCCUAAGAUUGAACUAGGAAGAAAUUGAAACCCUGAACAGACUAAUAACAAGUUUCAAGAUUGUGUUAGUAAUAAAAAGCCUACCAACCAGAAAAAGUCCAGGACCAGAAGGAUUCACAGCUGAGUUCUACCAUAUGCAUAAAGAAGAGCUGGUACCUUUCCUACAGAAACUAUUCUGAAAAUUUAAGGAGGAAGGACUCCUCCCUAAUUUAUUCUAUGAGGUCAACAUCAUUCUGAUACCAAAACCUGGCAGAGACACAACAAAAAAAGAAAACUAGCAAAAAAAGAAAAUACUAGCAAAUUGAACCCAACAGCACAUUAAAACUCUAAUCCACCACAAUCAAGUAGGCUUUAUCCCUGGAACACAAGGUUGGUUCAACAUAUGCAAAUUAGUAAAUGUGAUUCACUACAUAAGCAGAACUAAAAACAAAAACCAUCUAAUCUUCAACAAGGCUGACAAAAACAAGCAAUGGGAAAAGCAUUCCCUAUUCAAUAAAUGGUGCUGAGAUAACUAGGUAGCCAUAUGCAAAAAAUUGAAACUGAACCCCUCCCUUAUACCACAUAUGAAAAUCAAUCCAACGUGGAUUAAAGACUUAAAUAUGAAACCCAAAACUAUAAAAACCCUGGAAGAUAACCUAGGAAAUUCCAUUCUCAGCAUAGCCCCUGACAAAGAUUUCAUGACAAAGGUGACAAAAGCAAAAAUUAAUAAAUGUGACCUAAUUAACCUAAAAAGCUUCUGCACAGCAAAAUAAACUAUCAAUACAGUAAACAGACAACCUAUAGAAUAGGAUAAAAUAUUUGCAAAUGCACGCCUGUAGUCCCAGCUACUCAGGACACUGAGGCAGGAGAAUUGCUUGAACCUGGGAGGCAAAGUUUGCAGUGAGCCGAGCCCACACCACUGCCCUCCAGCCUGGUGACAGAGUGAGAC